GGAACGAACGCUGGCGGCAUGCCUAAUACAUGCAAGUCGAACGAACACUUCGGUGUUAGUGGCGCACGGGUGCGUAACGCGUGGGAAUCUGCCCUUGGGUUCGGAAUAACAGUUGGAAACGACUGCUAAUACCGGAUGAUGACGAAAGUCCAAAGAUUUAUCGCCCAGGGAUGAGCCCGCGUAGGAUUAGCUAGUUGGUGAGGUAAAGGCUCACCAAGGCGACGAUCCUUAGCUGGUCUGAGAGGAUGAUCAGCCACACUGGGACUGAGACACGGCCCAGACUCCUACGGGA
rnacentral:rRNA from 1 species